CCAACUGAAAGAGAAUCAGCAGCCAGAACGGAAACUAAGGAAACCCAGAUAAUGGAAUUGACUGAUGGAUUUGACUGAUAAUGGAAUUAUUGAUAUUUGAAGAUUUUGGCAUUCUAAGGACAAAGAGUUUUCAUUUUUCUCACAUGUUUAUCAUUCCUACUCGAGAAUUGAUUAUUUUUUUAUUGACUCUUGUUUUAUUCCAUCGGUAAUUGGUUGUAAUUAUGAUAUUAUAGCCAUCUCUGACCAUGCUCCAUUAAAACUUUCUAUUACAUUUACAGAUACAGCUUCUAGUGCUAGACAAUGGCAAUUUGAUUCUACCUUACUGCAAGAUCCGGAUUUUAUUAAAUUUAUGAAGGAACAGAUCGAUUUCUUCUUUUCAACUAAUUCCAUGGAUGAUAUUUCUUGCGGAACACUUUGGGACACUUUUAAAGCAUAUAUAUGUGGACAGAUUAUCUCCUACUCUACUGGUCUGAGAAAACGCAUUAAGAUGCACAGCAGAGGGCAUCCUAAUCGCUGGAUCACAGCAUCCGGCCUACGCACCUUCAAGUCACCUUCAUGAGUCAUCGUAUUCAUGGAACGUUUGUUCCACCCCCUCAUCAGGGAGUCAGAGAUUGGUUAAGAAAAAGGAAAUAUGACAGAGCUAAGACAACCAGGAUCGCCCUUCGUGGUUACAUUUGGAGGAAAAUUCGGUAGCGGGGUUUUCUUUAGCUUCUUUAUUAGGAGCUCCCCUUCCUUUUUCAUUCUCCAGUAUAGGUAAACAAAUUCUCAAUCCUAUCGUUAAAACGUACUUUAAAAGUCUGGUUUCAGUUUCGUAGAUUUUUUGAAUCAAAUAAUUUUCCACUCUCUAGUAAUUUAUUCUCUAGUAAUAUCUAUUCUAAUUUUUUUUAAACCAUCAACUCUGGAUAAGGCUUUUUUAACAUGGAAAACUAACGGAAUAAAAACGUUUUUAGAUUUGUUUUUACGGGAUUGUUUAAUGUCUUUUUCGUAGUUAAUGGAUAAAUAUGAUAUCUCUAAUACACAUUUUUAAGAUAUUUACAAAUUAGGAAUUUUUUACGUGAUUUUUUUUACCAAAAUACCCCUUGUUGGCUUAGCCAUUAAAUUUGGUUUAUGCUAUUUUUCAGCUCAAACCAUUUCAAAAACGAUUAAUAGCUAUUAUUUAUAAACCGUUAUUGAAUGCUCGCGUGUCGCUUAAUGAUAAGGUUAAAUGCACCUGGGAAACUGGCAUCUAGGUGUGGAUUUACAACCCAACUCACUCACGGCAAUUUUUGGGAUUAUUCUGGAGGAAGCAGGUAGAGUUUCUGCUUCUGCUCAACAUGUAACAACCUUUUCAACUUUACUGUCUAGGAGAACUAUCUUGUUAUACUGGGAAGAUUCUAAUCCACCCACUGUUUUCCUUAUCCGCGAAGGUUCGGAGGUGAAUGGAAGGAUGUUUUCUUCUUUUUUCUUCUAAUUUUAUCCUCAAAUGGACUGCCCAAUCUUUCUUUUUUUUUUGUUUUAGGUUAGUUUAGCGGUUUUUUUCCUUCUUACACAAUAAAAUUUCCAAUUUUUUUUACGAUUUGUCAAGAGAAGUUGUGGUUUCUUGUGUAUAUAAUAUAUACAACAGCGUAAUACCAUACUUAAUUGACUUUGACAAUAUAUACAUUUUUUUGCUGUUUCUACGUCUUUUGUAUUAUCUGUUUGUUAAAACUUCUCUGAUUUGUA